rnacentral:rRNA from 1 species
AUUGAACGCUAGCGGUAAGCUUUAUACAUGCAAGUCGAGGGGUAACAGUGGAAGCUUGCUUCCAGCUGACGACCGGCGGACUGGUGAGUAACGUAUAGGAAUCUGCAUCAAAGUGGGGGAUAGCUCGAAGAAAUUCGAAUUAAUACCGCAUAUGCCCAAGGGUGAAAGUGGGGGACCGUUUGGCCUCAUGCUUUGAUAUGAGCCUAUAUAGCAUUAGCUAGUUGGUGAGGUAAUAGCUCACCAAGGCUACGAUGCUUAGCUGAUUUGAGAGAAUGAUCAGCCACACUGGGACUGAGAUACGGCCCAGACUCCUACGGGGGAGGCAGCAGUAGGGGAAUAUUGGACAAUGGGGGGAAACCCUGAUCCAGCUAUACCGCGUGUGUGAAGAAGGCCUUAGGGUGUAAAGCACUUUUAUUUGAGAGAAGGUGUGUAUGUUAAUAGCAUGCAUGCUUGACGGUAACAAAUGAAUAAGUACCGGCUAAC